rnacentral:rRNA from 1 species
AGAGUUUGAUCAUGGCUCAGGAUGAACGCUGGCGGUAUGCUCAACACAUGCAAGUCGAACGAAAUCUUCGGAUUUAGUGGCGGACGGGUGAGUAACGCGUGAGAAUCUACUCUUAGAUUGGGGACAACAGUUGGAAACGACUGCUAAUACCGAAUGUGCCGAAAGGUAAAAGAUUUAUCGUCUGAGAAUGAGCUCGCGUUGGAUUAGCUAGUUGGAGUGGUAAUGGCACACCAAGGCGACGAUCCAUAACUGGUCUGAGAGGAUGACCAGUCACACUGGGACUGAGACACGGCCCAGACUCCUACGGGAGGCAGCAGUGGGGAAUUUUCCGCAAUGGGCGAAAGCCUGACGGAGCAAUACCGCGUGAGGGAGGAAGGCUCUUGGGUCGUAAACCUCUUUUAUUAGGGAAGAAGAUCUGACGGUACCUAAUGAAUCAGCAUCGAUGCGC